CCAAGAUCUGUGCCGUCUCCCCCCAGGAGUUCUGCUUUAACAAAGCAGGAAUGCUGGAGCAGAGAUUAAUGAUGUUGUGUCUCUGUCGACCUUGCAGAAGAGGAGGUGCGCCGCGAAGCCCGGCGGACCAAACGCCAAAGUGAAGGCCAAGGCCAAGAAGCCGGAGUCUGAGGAAGAAGAGGAGGAGGAGGAUGACGACGACGAAGAAGAGCAGGAGAAGGCUUCCUCUGCGGAUUCGUCUAGCGAGGAGGACGAUGAUGAUGACGAUGAAGACGAGGAGGACGACGAUGACCAGAACGAGGAGGAGGAGGACGACGAAGAGGACGAGGCGGCGGACAAGGAGAACAAGUCUGAGGAGAGCAGCAGCGGAUCGAGUUCCGCCUCGUCCUCGGACUCGGACACGGAGUGAGCGGGGGGGGGGCGCCUCCCCCUUCCCCGUCCGAGAGACUGAGCUGAGUCCAGGGAGCUCUGCCACUGUGCCAACCCCGUUGUCCGCCCCCCC
ensembl:lncRNA